UACGUAGGGUCCGAGCGUUGUCCGGAAUUAUUGGGCGUAAAGGGCUCGUAGGCGGUUCGUCACGUCGGGAGUGAAAACUCGGAGCUUAACUCCGAGCCUGCUUCCGAUACGGGCAGACUAGAGGUGGGCAGGGGAGAGCGGAACUCCUGGUGUAGCGGUGGAAUGCGCAGAUAUCAGGAAGAACACCGGUGGCGAAGGCGCUCAUCUGGCCCAAUACUGACGCUGAGGCGCGAAAGCUAGGGGAGCAAACGGG
rnacentral:rRNA from 1 species